CCUGUAGUCGAAAAUGUUGUCUCUCUUGAGUGGAUCCUGAGUACGACGGAGCACGUGAAAUUCCGUCGGAAUCUGGGAGGACCAUCUCCUAAGGCUAAAUACUCUCUAGUGACCGAUAGUGAACCAGUACCGUGAGGGAAAGGUGAAAAGCACCCCGGAAGGGGAGUGAAAUAGAACCUGAAACCGUGUGCUUACAAGUAGUCAGAGCCCGUUAAUGGGUGAUGGCGUGCCUUUUGUAGAAUGAACCGGCGAGUUACGAUUUGAUGCAAGGUUAAGCAGUAAAUGUGGAGCCGUAGCGAAAGCGAGUCUGAAUAGGGCGUUUAGUAUUUGGUCGUAGACCCGAAACCAGGUGAUCUACCCUUGGUCAGGUUGAAGUUCAGGUAACACUGAAUGGAGGACCGAACCGACUUACGUUGAAAAGUGAGCGGAUGAACUGAGGGUAGCGGAGAAAUUCCAAUCGAACCUGGAGAUAGCUGGUUCUCUCCGAAAUAGCUUUAGGGCUAGCCUCAAGUGAUGAUUAUUGGAGGUAGAGCACUGUUUGGACGAGGGGCCCCUCUCGGGUUACCGAAUUCAGACAAACUCCGAAUGCCAAUUAAUUUAACUUGGGAGUCAGAACAUGGGUGAUAAGGUCCGUGUUCGAAAGGGAAACAGCCCAGACCACCAGCUAAGGUCCCAAAAUAUAUGUUAAGUGGAAAAGGAUGUGGCGUUGCCCAGACAACUAGGAUGUUGGCUUAGAAGCAGCCAUCAUUUAAAGAGUGCGUAAUAGCUCACUAGUCGAGUGACACUGCGCCGAAAAUGUACCGGGGCUAAACAUAUUACCGAAGCUGUGGAUUGUCCUUUGGACAAUGGUAGGAGAGCGUUCUAAGGGCGUUGAAGCAUGAUCGUAAGGACAUGUGGAGCGCUUAGAAGUGAGAAUGCCGGUGUGAGUAGCGAAAGACGGGUGAGAAUCCCGUCCACCGAUUGACUAAGGUUUCCAGAGGAAGGCUCGUCCGCUCUGGGUUAGUCGGGUCCUAAGCUGAGGCCGACAGGCGUAGGCGAUGGAUAACAGGUUGAUAUUCCUGUACCACCUAUAAUCGUUUUAAUCGAUGGGGGGACGCAGUAGGAUAGGCGAAGCGUGCGAUUGGAUUGCACGUCUAAGCAGUAAGGCUGAGUAUUAGGCAAAUCCGGUACUCGUUAAGGCUGAGCUGUGAUGGGGAGAAGACAUUGUGUCUUCGAGUCGUUGAUUUCACACUGCCGAGAAAAGCCUCUAGAUAGAAAAUAGGUGCCCGUACCGCAAACCGACACAGGUAGUCAAGAUGAGAAUUCUAAGGUGAGCGAGCGAACUCUCGUUAAGGAACUCGGCAAAAUGACCCCGUAACUUCGGGAGAAGGGGUGCUCUUUAGGGUUAACGCCCAGAAGAGCCGCAGUGAAUAGGCCCAAGCGACUGUUUAUCAAAAACACAGGUCUCUGCUAAACCGUAAGGUGAUGUAUAGGGGCUGACGCCUGCCCGGUGCUGGAAGGUUAAGAGGAGUGGUUAGCUUCUGCGAAGCUACGAAUCGAAGCCCCAGUAAACGGCGGCCGUAACUAUAACGGUCCUAAGGUAGCGAAAUUCCUUGUCGGGUAAGUUCCGACCCGCACGAAAGGCGUAACGAUUUGGGCACUGUCUCAACGAGAGACUCGGUGAAAUCAUAGUACCUGUGAAGAUGCAGGUUACCCGCGACAGGACGGAAAGACCCCGUGGAGCUUUACUGUAGCCUGAUAUUGAAAUUCGGCACAGCUUGUACAGGAUAGGUAGGAGCCUUUGAAACGUGAGCGCUAGCUUACGUGGAGGCGCUGGUGGGAUACUACCCUAGCUGUGUUGGCUUUCUAACCCGCACCACUUAUCGUGGUGGGAGACAGUGUCAGGCGGGCAGUUUGACUGGGGCGGUCGCCUCCUAAAAGGUAACGGAGGCGCUCAAAGGUUCCCUCAGAAUGGUUGGAAAUCAUUCAUAGAGUGUAAAGGCAUAAGGGAGCUUGACUGCGAGACCUACAAGUCGAGCAGGGUCGAAAGACGGACUUAGUGAUCCGGUGGUUCCGCAUGGAAGGGCCAUCGCUCAACGGAUAAAAGCUACCCCGGGGAUAACAGGCUUAUCUCCCCCAAGAGUUCACAUCGACGGGGAGGUUUGGCACCUCGAUGUCGGCUCAUCGCAUCCUGGGGCUGUAGUCGGUCCCAAGGGUUGGGCUGUUCGCCCAUUAAAGCGGUACGCGAGCUGGGUUCAGAACGUCGUGAGACAGUUCGGUCCCUAUCCGUCGUGGGCGUAGGAAAUUUGAGAGGAGCUGUCCUUAGUACGAGAG
rnacentral:rRNA from 1 species